GGGGCUGUAGCUCAGUGGUAGAGCGUCCGCUUUGCAUGCGGAAGGCCCGGGGUUCAAAUCCUCGCAGCUCCA
rfam:Trichuris suis scaffold74.11, whole genome shotgun sequence.